GAAUUGCGAUACGUAUUAUGACUUGCAGACGUGAAUCAUCAAUUUUUGAACGCACAUUGCACCUUUUGGUAUUCCAAAAGGUAUAUAUUAUUGAGCGUCCCUUACCCUCAAUCCCUCGGAUUGGCAUAAAGUACAAAUCUAAGACCCCCCAAAGACCUCAAUUAUAUAAGACUACCCGCUGAACUUAA
rnacentral:misc_RNA from 1 species